GCAUAUCAAUAAGCGGAGGAAAAGAAACCAACAGGGAUUGCCUUAGUAGCGGCGAGUGAAGCGGCAAAAGCUCAAAUUUGAAAUCUGGCUCUUUCAGAGUCCGAGUUGUAAUUUGAAGAAGGUAUCUUUGGGUCUGGCUCUUGUCUAUGUUUCUUGGAACAGAACGUCACAGAGGGUGAGAAUCCCGUGCGAUGAGAUGAUCCAGGCCUAUGUAAAGUUCCUUCGAAGAGUCGAGUUGUUUGGGAAUGCAGCUCUAAGUGGGUGGUAAAUUCCAUCUAAAGCUAAAUAUUGGCGAGAGACCGAUAGCGAACAAGUACAGUGAUGGAAAGAUGAAAAGAACUUUGAAAAGAGAGUGAAAAAGUACGUGAAAUUGUUGAAAGGGAAGGGCUUGAGAUCAGACUUGGUAUUUUGUAUGUUACUUCUUCGGGGGUGGCCUCUACAGUUUAUCGGGCCAGCAUCAGUUUGGGCGGUAGGAGAAUUGCGUUGGAAUGUGGCACGGCCUCGGUUGUGUGUUAUAGCCUUCGUCGAUACUGCCAGCCUAGACUGAGGACUGCGGUUUAUACCUAGGAUGUUGGCAUAAUGAUCUUAAGUCGCCCGUCUUGAAACACGGACC
rnacentral:rRNA from 1 species